GCAAACUUGGUCAUUUAGAGGAAGUAAAAGUCGUAACAAGGUUUCCGUAGGUGAACCUGCGGAAGGAUCAUUAUGGUAUUUAUUAAAUGAUGUCUGUGAAGUGGUGGCCGGGGGGGCACGGGGUGCGCAGCAGCCUGUGGGUGCGUUGCGCAGCCUGGGUGCCGCGCUCGGCCACGGAGUAACGGACAAUGUGUGUGUGUGAUGUGAGCGAACAUAACGAACAACAACUUUUAACAAUGGAUCUCUUGGCUCUCGCAUCGAUGAAGAACGCAGC
rnacentral:misc_RNA from 1 species